rnacentral:rRNA from 1 species
UACGUAGGGGGCAAGCGUUGUUCGGAAUUACUGGGCGUAAAGCGCGCGUAGGCGGUUUGAAAAGUCAGAUGUGAAAGCCCCGGGCUCAACUUGGGAACUGCAUUUGAUACUGUCAGACUAGAGUACAGAAGAGGUGACUGGAAUUCCCAGUGUAGCGGUGAAAUGCGUAGAUAUUGGGAGGAAGGCCGGUGGCGAAGGCGGCGCUCUGGAACAUUUCUGACGCUGAGGCUCGAAAGCGUGGGGAGCAAACAGG